GAGAUAUACAAAGUGCAUAUGGUGGAUGCCUUGGCGUCAAAAGCCGAUGAAGGACGUAGUAACCUGCGAUAAGCCUCGGGUAGGUGGUAAGCAACCUGUGAUCCGAGGAUUUCCGAAUGGGGAAACCCGCCUUGAUGGAAGAUCAAGGAAUCUGACGUGAGUCGGAAGGUAAGCCGGUGAAGUGAAACAUCUCAGUAGCCGGAGGAAAAGAGAACAAAAGUUAUUCCCCUAGUAGCGGCGAGCGAAAAGGGAGGAGCCAAAACCUCAGAAAUCAGAAACAUUGAGCUACUUUCUUUAUUUAUAAGGGAAGCGAGUAUUUGUGGACGGCGAUCAGGCUAUAGAUUUCUGGGAGGUAGUGGGACGUUGUGCGUUUGUUCAACUGAUUUUGGACAGCUAGAAAUAAGGAUUUUUAGUCGAAAGGUCUGGAAAGGCCUAUCAUAGAGGGUGAUAAUCCCGUAGAUAAAAAGAAUCUUUACUCUAGAGCAUGAUGUUUUCCCAAGUACCACGCACCUCGUGAAAGCGCGUGGGAAUCUGCCAGGACUAUCUGGUAAGGCUAAAUACUUUUGACGACCGAUAGUGAACAAGUACCGUGAGGGAAAGGUGAAAAGCAGCCCGGGAGGGCGAUGAAAUAGUAUCUGAAACCAUAUGCUUACAAGGAGUCGGAGCGUGCGUAGUACGCAGUUUGUAAAGUUGAAAGUUAUAAUGUUUGUAAAGUUUAAAUACUUUAUGAACUUUAUACUUUAUGAACUUUAUAACUUGCGUUCUACGCGCGUGACGGCGUUCCUAUUGAAGAAUGAGCCAACGAGUUUGUGUAUGUUGCAAGUUUAAUUCCGCUGAGCGGAAGAAGGCGUAGGGAAACCAAGUCUUAAUAGGGCGAUAUUCCUAUUAUAUCGAUAUUCCGUUUAUCCAUAAGGUAAACUGGCAUAUCGAUAUAGUAGGACAAGCAGCAUGCUCAAAGCACGAAACCGUGUGAGCUAGCCAUGGCCAGGGUGAACUUCGCCGAAAAACGAAGGGAGGCCCGAACCCACCAGUUGUGCAAAACUGGGGGAUGAGCUGUGGCUAGGGGAGAAAUUCCAAUCGAACUCGGUAAUAGCUUGUUUUCCUCGAAAUAGUUUUAGGACUAGCCUCUCUGUGAUACCCGGGGGUAGAGCACUGAAUGGGAACGGGUGGAGCAAUCCUACCGUUCCCAACCAAACUCCGAAUACCGGUCAUAUUAUACAGGGGGAGUAAGACUAUGGGCGCUAAGGUCCAUCAGUCAAAAGGGGAACAGCCCAGACCGCCAUCUAAGGUCCCUAAAUUCACGCUAAGUGUAAAAGGUGGUAUAUCGACUUAAACAACCAGGAGGUUGGCUUAGAGGCAGCCAUCCUUUAAAGAAAGCGUAAUAGCUCACUGGUCGAGUUGAUAUGCGCCGAAAAUAUACCGGGGCUAAGCGUGGUACCGAAGGUGCGGAUUCCUAUCUUUAUUGAUAGGGAUGGUAGAGGAACGUUCUGAAUUGCGUUGAAGCCGUUUCGUGAGGAACGGUGGAGUAUUCAGAAGCGCGAAUGUUGGCAUAAGUAGCAAAAAUUGAGAUGAGAACUCUCAACAUCGAAAAUCCAAGGUUUCCUGGGCAACGCAAAUCGACCCAGGGUUAGUCGAUCCUAAGGCCAGUCCCUGCGUAUGUGGGGGGUAACCGAUGGACACCAGGUUAAUAUUCCUGGACUACUGUGAUAUUUUGAGCGGGGACAUUUUUUCAAGUUCUAAGCGUAUUUUGGCUAUGUGCGUCCAAUCCCGGUGCUGAACCGGGAGAGUGCAAGCGAGGGGUAACACCCUUGCGAGUUAGGAGGAGAAAGAAUCAAGAAAAGCCGUACUCAAGUUAAUUUCAUAGUAUUCGUACCGCAAACCGACACAGGUGGAUGAGCUGAGUAUGCUCAGAUGUACGGGAGAACCCUUGUUCAGGAACUCGGCAAAAAAGCUAGGCGUAACUUCGGGAUAUGCCUCCCCCUAUUUAUAGGGGCGCAGCGAACGUUUAUUUUGUGACUGUUUAUCAAAAACAUAGGUCUCUGCAAAACCGUAAGGUGAUGUAUAGGGGCUGAUGCCUGGCCAGUGUCAGAACGUUAAGGGGAUAAGUUAACCGGAUUUAUCUGGAAGGCUUUGAACUGAAGCGCUGAUGAACGCCGGCCGUAACUAUAACGGUCCUAAGGUAGCGAAAUUCCUUGUCGGGUGAGUUCCGACCUGCACGAAUGGCAUAACAACAGAAUAACUGUCUUAACAAGGGACCCGGCGAAAUUGCAAGAGGAGUGAAGAUGCUCUUUACCCGCGGCUGGACGAAAAGACCCCAUGAAGCUUUACUACAGUUUGAUAUUGGAUUAUAACUUAUCAUGUUCAGUAUAGGUGGGAGCCGCAAGGCACCAAUGAGAUACCACCCUUGAUACGUCGUAAUUCUUGAUCCGUCUUAGUGAAUCCUAAGAGGAGACAGUAUCUGACGGGUAGUUUGACUGGGGCGGUCGCCUCCUAAAAGGUAACGGAGGCGUUUACAAAGGUUGGCUUAGUCCCGAUGGAAACGGGACUGGACGCGUAAAGGCAAAAGCCAGCUUUACUGCAAGACGUACAUGUCGCGCAGUUGCGAAAGCAGAACUUAGUGAUCCGACGAUCCAAUAUAGGAUGGUCGAAGCUCAACGGAUAAAAGCUACUCUGGGGAUAACAGGCUAGUCUGGUCCAAGCGUCCACAGCGACGACCAGGUUCGGCACCUCGAUGUCGGCUCAUCGCAUCCUGGGGGUGGAGAAGCUCCCAAGGGUUUGGC
rnacentral:rRNA from 1 species